rnacentral:rRNA from 1 species
AGUGGCGGACGGGUGAGUAACGCGUGGGUAACCUGCCUCAUACAGGGGGAUAACAGUUAGAAAUGACUGCUAAUACCGCAUAAGACCACAGCACCGCAUGGUGCAGGGGUAAAACUCCGGUGGUAUGAGAUGGACCCGCGUCUGAUUAGGUAGUUGGUGGGGUAACGGCCUACCAAGCCGACGAUCAGUAGCCGACCUGAGAGGGUGACCGGCCACAUUGGGACUGAGACACGGCCCAA